rnacentral:rRNA from 1 species
UACGGGGGGGGCAAGCGUUGUUCGGAAUUACUGGGCUUAAAGGGUGCGUAGGCUGCGCGGAAAGUUGGGUGUGAAAUCCCUCGGCUCAACCGGGGAAUUGCAUCCAAAACUACCGUGCUCGAGGGAGACAGAGGUAAGCGGAACUCACGGUGGAGCGGUGAAAUGCGUUGAUAUCUUGAGGAACACCGGUGGCGAAAGCGGCUUACUGGGUCUCUUCUGACGCUGAGGCAAGAAAGCUAAGGUAGCAAACGGG